rnacentral:snRNA from 1 species
UGGGCUCGGGGGUCCCAG